GGGGGGGGAUAGGCUAGCUUUUUGUCCUGUUUAUAUAGCUCAAACAAAUACAUUUGUAUAUAUCUUCCACAAUGCAUUUUUUUAUUAUAUCGAAUAAUGACUACAUAUUUUGGCUUAAAAAAAAAAUUUUCAAGAUGGCCGCCAUUCAAUAUGGGUAAUAUUUCCAAAACUUUUGUUCUACAAGACAAUUGGAUUCAGCACUGUUAUUCUAUCAACCAGAUUUCAUGUCAAUAUCUUCUCUAAUAUCAUUUUCAUGAUUUUUUAUUAUUAAUCUAUUGAUAUCAAACGGCCGCCAUUUUAAAAUGGCCGCCUCUUCCGCCAAUUUUGGCUUUCAGAUUGGGUCCAUAGCUUAAAAUGUUGUCCAUGACAUAUACUACUACUAUGCCAAAUUUCAUGCUUUUACCACAAUCUGAGCAAUUUUGUCAAAAAUCUGCACAAAUCGACUGGACUAUGGAGCCAGGAA
rnacentral:lncRNA from 1 species